rnacentral:tRNA from 1 species
UUUAAUGUGGCAGAUUAGUGCACUGAACUUAAGCUUCAUGUAUGAACUCUUGGUUCCUUUAAAA